UACGUAGGGUGCAAGCGUUGUCCGGAAUUAUUGGGCGUAAAGAGCUCGUAGGCGGUCUGUCGCGUCGGAUGUGAAAAUCCAGGGCUCAACCCCGAGCCUGCAGUCGAUACGGGCAGACUAGAGUGCUGUAGGGGAGACUGGAAUUCCUGGUGUAGCGGUGAAAUGCGCAGAUAUCAGGAGGAACACCGGUGGCGAAGGCGGGUCUCUGGGCGAGUAACUGACGCUGAGGAGCGAAAGCGUGGGGAGCGAACAGG
rnacentral:rRNA from 1 species